ACUUUUAAUGGACAAUAGUGAUCCUA
rnacentral:tRNA from 1 species